UACAGAGGGGGCAAGCGUUGUUCGGAAUUACUGGGCGUAAAGGGCGCGUAGGCGGCCUGUUAAGUCGAACGUGAAAUCCCCGGGCUCAACCCGGGAACUGCGUCCGAUACUGGCAGGCUUGAAUCCGGGAGAGGGAUGCGGAAUUCCAGGUGUAGCGGUGAAAUGCGUAGAUAUCGGGAGGAACACCUGUGGCGAAAGCGGCGCACUGGACCACAUCUGACGCUGAGGCACGAAAGCCAGGGGAGCAAACGGG
rnacentral:rRNA from 1 species